AUGACAAUUAUGAAUGUGCAUGACAAAUGUGGGAAUGCAGAUGUGGGAAAUGCAUAUUCAUUUUGAUGGGUAAUUUGCCACAUAUGCAGUUUAAAGGAGUUGUGAAAAGAGAAAUAGAGGGAACAGAAGGGGGAAAAAAAAAGGGAAAUACAAAGCUUAUCAACGGAUAAAUGUUGUUAGCAUUUGGCUACAAGACAAGUUGAAAUGGAUUCUUCUUUGUGAUUGAUGUUGAGCAUUGAGAACUCCUCCAAACUACAACAGGGGAGGCAGAUUUACCUAGCCUAGUGACAGCAACACAGUGUCAGUGAGGACUUCUGUGGUGUAUGGGCUUCAUCUGCUCUAACCCUAGCCUGAGAAGUGCACGACAACAUAAAGCAGAAGUACUGAGCUGUCAGAGGUCUGAUCUGACAUGGCAUUACUUGGAUCUGUGUGGAUUUGAGAGUCUGGAUUCUUCAGGAUCAAGCACUGACCCUGCAGAAAGCGGUCCAUCCCUCAGCCUGCAACGUAGAGAAUACCAACAUGCAAGCUUAAGGACUGUAACAGAAAUUGGAAAAGAAACAUGAAGACUUGCCUUCAUUUUAACCUUAGAGAAAAGUUUACCUAUCUUCAGAAUUUACAGUUUUUUACUGUUUAUAAAGUGCUGAAGAACGGCUACAUUCUACUGAGCCAUGUAAUAAUUGUUUACCAUUCCAGUACAGUUUGUUUUGUAAUUUUAACCAGCUAGGAUUAGAGGUAAUUUAAUUUCUAAUUAAAUGCUUGUGAUCUGACAAGCAGGAAACUGAGAUAUACGUGAAGAGCUACCUCCUUCAAAUAGAAGAACUGCUUUUUCUUGACAAAGAGUUACUUCGCAAUAGACUGAACAGAAUCGGUUUAAAAUUGGAAUAAAUAUUUGUUUAUUG
ensembl:lncRNA